rnacentral:rRNA from 1 species
AACGAACGCUGGCGGCAGGCCUAACACAUGCAAGUCGAGCGCCCCGCAAGGGGAGCGGCAGACGCGUGAGUAACGCGUGGGCAUCUCUCCAUCUCUACGGAAUAACGCAUGGAAACGUGUCCGAAUACCGCAUACGUCCUUCUGGAGAAAGAUUUAUCGGAGAUGGAUGAGCCCGCGUUGGAUUAGCCAGUUGGUGGGGUAGAGGCCUACCAAGGCGACGAUCCAUAGCUGGUCUGAGAGGAUGAUCAGCCACACUGGGACUGAGACGCGGGCAAGACUCCUACGGGAUGCAGCAGUGGGGAAUAUUGGACAAUGGGAGCAAGCCUGAUCCAGCCAUGGCGCGUGAGUUAUGAAGGACCUAGGGUUGUAAAGCUCUUUCACCGGUGAAGAUAAUGACGGUAACCGGAGAAGAAGCCCCGGCUAACUUCGUGCCAGCCGCCGCCGUAACAC